rnacentral:rRNA from 1 species
GCAAGUCGAGCGGCAGCGGGUCCUUCGGGAUGCCGGCGAGCGGCGGACGGGUGAGUAAUGCCUAGGAAUCUGCCUGGUAGUGGGGGAUAACGUUCGGAAACGGACGCUAAUACCGCAUACGUCCUACGGGAGAAAGUGGGGGAUCUUCGGACCUCACGCUAUCAGAUGAGCCUAGGUCGGAUUAGCUAGUUGGUGGGGUAAUGGCUCACCAAGGCGACGAUCCGUAACUGGUCUGAGAGGAUGAUCAGUCACACUGGAACUGAGACACGGUCCAGACUCCUACGGGAGGCAGCAGUGGGGAAUAUUGGACAAUGGGCGAAAGCCUGAUCCAGCCAUGCCGCGUGUGUGAAGAAGGUCUUCGGAUUGUAAAGCACUUUAAGUUGGGAGGAAGGGCAGCUAGUUAAUACCUGGUUGUUUUGACGUUACCAACAGAAUAAGCACCGGCUAACUUCGUGCCAGCAGCCGCGGUAAUACGAAGGGUGCAAGCGUUAAUCGGAAUUACUGGGCGUAAAGCGCGCGUAGGUGGUUCAGCAAGUUGGAGGUGAAAUCCCCGGGCUCAACCUGGGAACUGCCUCCAAAACUACUGAGCUAGAGUACGGUAGAGGGUAGUGGAAUUUCCUGUGUAGCGGUGAAAUGCGUAGAUAUAGGAAGGAACACCAGUGGCGAAGGCGACUACCUGGACUGAUACUGACACUGAGGUGCGAAAGCG